UCAACCUGCUGGCCACCACCAUACUGGUACUGCUGACAUACUUCACCAGCACGCGGGAGAACAUGAAGAUUUCUGAGAAAUUGGUCAUCUACAAUGCGUUGGUGCCAGACAUCAUAUCAGAGCUUGUCUUAGUGACUAUAAUAGCACCAGCAAUUUCCCACAAAGAGUGGACCUACACCGUUUUCCAGACGACAUGGAUAGCGUUCAUGAACACGACCUGCAUAUUCCACAGUCCCCU